rnacentral:lncRNA from 1 species
GCGGGGAACUCAAAGCGCAGAGCGUACUCCACGACGAUUCCCUCUGGACUGAUCAAGAUCAGGCCCGCACCUGUCCCUGACAUGUUGGAAGAUCCAUCCACGUAGAGGGCCCAAAAGCAAUCAGAGGGAUCUACUUCUUCUUUGGGGGAGUUCAGUCGGGACUCCAGGCCGUCAAUUUCGCCUUGUUCAGGUUUAGCCUCCUCUGGGAUAGUACACUUCACUAUGAAAUCUGCCAAUAUCUGGGCCUUCACUGCUGGCCUGGGUCGAUAGUUGAUGUCGAAUUCUAUGAGCUCGAUCACCCAUUUUGCCAUCCUCCCGGAGGCAUCCACCCGGUGUAGAAUCACCUUGAUCGAUUGGUCGGUGAGCAGCGUUAUGGUGUGCCC